CGUCAAAUUUAUGCUUGCUCGGAGAGACUGGACCGACACACGAGGCUUCCAAGAUGGCGGCCGAGGAGGUGACAUUACUUAGUCAAAUCUGAGUGUUUCUUUGAAAGCACGGUGACGAGUAAAGAAUACCGAUAAGCGAUAAGUGUUUCAAUUCUGUGUUGUGUUAAGUGCAGCGUAGUUUUGUUCAGUUUUGUUUUUGUUUUGUGUGUAUUGGGCAUGUGUUGAUAUUGUAGUUACUAUGUGUAGUUGUUGUGAUGUGUACUGUGUUUUGUAAUGAUUUUUAAAUUCACAGAGCGAUGAUUAAACUAGAGAAAUGAGCUUCAAACAUUUUUCGUUUGAUAAUGAUUGUUAACACUUGAUUUCUGAGCUCUGUGACCGAAGUGGGAAUUUUUUUACAGUGUAAUUAAUGGAAAGGUUUCCGCAUAACCCCUUACUAUUCUAAAAAAAAUUGUUCCAAAGGCAAUCUAUUUUUUACCAGCUUUUUCUCUAUCUUAGGAAUGUAUGCGGGUGUCUGGAAAAAUGAGACCUAAGACCACACACUCAGGAAACUAAAACCUGACUAAUUUCAGUUUGAGAAUUCUCCAAUAUAGAUUCUACAAUCUAAAUCUUGGUCUGCACAAGCCAAAUUCCUCUCCUCUCCAUCUCUACGUCACGCUUUGCCUCACGGUUGUUCAAUAAUAUUUGCAUUGUGACGCAGUGAGCAUGUGUUUACAGGUUUUCCUCUCGGUUGUAUUAGAUAACAAACUUCUGUCAGUUUUCUGCCCCAGAACAAUAUAUUUCAGAACGCAUUUAAUGUGACCGCGAGAUUUUGUGAUCAAACAGUGAAUUCACAUAGUUUUCUUUUAUCUCAGGAAGCACAGCUUUAUUGUCCUCAAAAGUGUUACUGAUUGUAUGGGGCUGUGUGGAAAUAUUUCCCAGUUAGUUCUAAUAUAGUGGUAACUGUUAUGGUAUGAUAGGCUCUUUUUAUGUUGUAAGCUCAGUAUUGGAUUUAAUUUUGGGUCAAACAACAAGGCCCAGGCUGGAAAGAGGCUCUCAGUUAGGAAAAUGUAUUUCUCAUUAUUGAUGGGUAAGAAAGUUCACACAUCAGGUCAGUCUAGAGAGUCUCUAGAAGACCCAUUCAUUUUUCUUUUUGGUUUUCUACCGGUAAACAGUGGUACAGCAGUGCAAAAUAUAUUUUCUUUGUGUUGAAGCUGCACUUAGAAUAAAAGCACAUCAAGCUGUAGUUAGCAUGUCUCAUAGGACUUCAUUCAAUGGUUUUGUUUUUUUUUUUCAAAGAAAAGUUUGAUACUGACCCAAAUAGUAGACACACAAGAAACUUAACAGAACACUAACAUCUUUGAAAAGUCUUUGUUUAUUCACAUUUGGGUGGUGAAGCUUCAUCACGUGUUGUUCACAUCAAGGUAGAGAAAGUUACAUGGCUGAAUGAGACUUUGUCAGAUGUAUGACGUACUCUUUGAAUACUAUUAGUAAUAUGAAUAGUAAAGUUC